rnacentral:pre_miRNA from 15 species
GGCUGGGGGAAAGACUGCUUUGGGCGGGGGUCAAGAGCAAUAACGAAAAAUGUUUGUCAUAAACCGUUUUUCAUUAUUGCUCCUGACCUCCUCCCAAGGGCUCGCUGCGGUUGCGUGA